GGGCCAGCCCGAGGCAGGCGAGGUGGAAGGCUCCGCAGCAGGGCCCCUCGCACAGCAGGAGGCUGCCCGGCUUCUCGCACAGCUGCGGGGCGGGGUGGGGUGGAGGCGCGGCGGCGGUGAGGACGCCCGGGCGACCCCCUCCCCCCACCCCCCCCCCCCCCCCCGGCCCGCCCGCGGCUCCCCUGCCUCCUCCGUCCACGCCCGACUUCGCACGUUCGGAACACGCGUGCGCCACAUGUCGCCACACGGCGGUAACACGAAACAGCCUCACGCGGACGCCCGAGCCCGGCCCGGGGCGCUCGGUCCCGGGUCCCCCCGCGGCCCGGCGCCCUCGCAACAGAAGCCCGUGUGACCGCGGGUGCCCGGGCCCGGGUCAAGGACAAAAGCAAGCGGCGGCCGACCCCUCACCUGACACACGUACUCCUUUUUGGCGGCCACGCCCCGCUCAGACUUCUUGGAGGAGACGGACGCUUCGGUCUGGGUCUCGUCGGCGCUCUCGUACGGGGACUCGGCGGGCUCGUCUCCCGGGCCGUCCGACACCUGGGGGCGAAGGAGGCGGCACAGGUCACCAGUGCGGGCGGAGGCGGCCCGACUCCUGCUCGGCUGCGGCCCGACUGCCAGCUCCUGGCCGCAAAGGCCCGGUGCCCACGGUUUCCUGGGACGGGGCGCGGCGGGUCGACCGAACUGUGCAGAGGCUCAGAAGCGGACUUCGCCCUCUCCGCGCGGGCAGAAGGGGCACAGAGGCACGUGUCUUCGCGUUCCUGCCAUCCUGACCAAGGAAGGAACCGGUGAAAACCCCACGUGCCCCAGCAGGUGACCUGGGACGGGCCCGGGACUGGGAAUCUUGACCUCUGUCGCCCAGUCGCUUACGGCUCAGCUUUUCACAGUAAGAGAAGCAGAUCAGCACCCAGUGACUUUCCAGAAGAGCCAGAGCGAGGGGCAGGAGGGGAGCCUCCGCACGGUGGGCCCGGCCGCUCCUAGAAGCCGCCAGCACACGCAGUGGGCCGCGACUAACGGGCCGUCCCGACUUGCCCUCUGCCUGCCGCCCGUGGUCCCCGGACGGGUAAGCAGGCGAAGGCAAGGUCAAACCUGCCGGCUCUGGCAACGCGUGAGCCCAAGAGAAAGCCCUGGGAGAAAAACAUGGCAAUCGUGGAGCAAACAAAAGCCCCCACCUCCCCCCCCCCCCCCCCCCGCCCCAUCCCGGUCGUAUUUCAUCCCCCUUCAUUAUCAGGGAUCAAGGAGACCAGGCUAAAGCCUCCCUCUCAUCACUGUAUGCAACGUCUUGCCCUCAUUUGAGCAGCAAGAAAUCUCUAAAUAGAAAUCAAUAAAUCUUUAGUAAGAAAACGUUCUUCUAUACCAAAUUGAAACUGAAAAAAAAAAAAAAAAAAAAAACACCUAAAAACACAUUUAGCAUUUAUUUGACAUUAGGUAAAGAGAAUGUUGAAUACUGAGUUUUUCAACACAGCAGAAGUAUAAACUACAUUUCCUGUAUACCUUGAUAACCACGACAAGUAUGUUAUAGGCCUGCCGUUUACCAAUGACUACAAAGCUAGAAAUUAAAAUCGGGCCACAAUUAAACAAAACAGAACAAACCCCACCAGCCAACCCACCCAAUUCUGUAGGCUUAUCAAUUAACUUCCUCCAGACUUAGCUCGAUGAAAUUACAGGGAGAAGAAAAACACCCCAAAACACUUAGAGCUGGUGUUAGCGGGCUGGUCUUUGAGGGACACGCUGCCUCUGGCUGGUGUGUGCAUCGGUUGGGGGGGGGGGGGGCAGGAGGUCGGGCCCAGCUCUCCGCCCUUGCUUCUCUAUGCUGACCCCUCCCGCAGUAACACAGUCUCAGGAGGAAGCCGCCUUUACACUCCAGUUCCUCACCUUUUCCAGGAAGAUGGAAACAGCGGCAUGAACGUACACUAAGUUAUGGGGGGUCUCACACAGUAGGUCUCCCCUGCCCCCCAGGCUGGCCAGAUGGUGCCCCUCCCUAUCAGCUCAGCUCAUUUACUCCUUUAUCAUCAACAUCCAGAAAGAAGGCAACUUGAUUUAAAAAAAAAAAAAAAAAAAAAAAAAAAAACUCUGCGUUCAAACCCCAAUUUUAACAUGUCCAUCGUAUUUGGAGUCACAGAUGGGCGGGGUCUGAGACGCUAGGGGUGCUGGGGAGCCCGGGGCGUUGGGAACACCAGCCACACCUCGGGGCCCCGGUCAAAGGGCAGCCCAAGGCUGACCCGUCUGACGAAGAACCGAGGCCCAGAGAAAGGGCCUUCAACAGGGGCUCAGGGAAAGCGAGCCCGGUGCCCUGCCCACCAACCCACAUUCUUCCCUUCAAUGUGGUCGGAACAAAUUUAAAGCUUUACAAAAAAAAGAAAAAAAGAAAAAAAAAAAACAAAAGGAAAAAUGCAUGGAGAGAAAGACAGAAAACACAGACCAGUCCUGGGUCGAAGAAAGGAACAGCACCUUUUAUUUAAGAUUUACAGAAAAAGUCAGCACGUUUCCACUUGGAGAUAUUUCCUAAAUUAACAAAGUCUGUUUUGAGGAAAUAAACACUGAAUACAUAUUUUGAAUGGAAAUAUAAAUGUUAAGACACACAUGAGGCUUGUUUCCUGAUUGGGGUCUAAGAUACACAUACAGAAUACAGACCUUACAAUAUUACAGUCCAUGACACAGAUGCGGGAGAUUGCGACCUUCGGCCCAGCGAACCCCUUCCCAGCGACCCAACGACCACUAGCACAGUCGGAGGGAUCCACCGGCUCUCCGCUCGGCAGACCACCCACAAGAGGAGCAAAGUACGCGGGCACCGCGCCAGCCUCUACUCCGGGUGCAGGGCUCCGCCUCCACGGGCACCAGGUGACGGUACUUACUCGGAGAUGCCGUUUGUGAAAGCGACACCUUCACCCGAAUGGUCCCAACACGGUCCCAAAUCUCAGUCUACGACAUCUACGGUCUAUUCCAUAUCCAAUAGGAUGCAUUUGGAAAAAGAGAAAUGUAGUAACUGAACGGACACAGACUGUCAACAACUUUCCCGUCGCUUCCCGAUCCACCAAAGCCACACCUGUGGCACGGAUUUCCAAGCAGCUUAGUUCCUGACUUCUCCGAGUUUUCUGGAGUCUGAAAACACUUUCUCUACCCUCCACUCAGUAUGUGAUAGUAUCAAAUUGCCUAUGUGCCUUAGAAAUACGUUCCUUUAGGGGCAGGGAAUGCUGUCUCCACAGUAAAGCAGGGAUUUUUCAAGAUGAUAUUAAUGAACACAAAGUAACCUAGUGAACAUAUUUGAACCAACUUCAGGAAACAAUGUAGCCGUUUAGGGGGGACUAACGAACCCCAGUCCUCUCUGCUGUGACUGGGGGGGGAGGGGGGGCGGCCUGUGCCUCAGACGGCAGGGUACAGAGUGAUUUUUAAAUUUUUUGACAAAACAAAUCCCUUCACAAAUCGAAUUCCACAUCAUUUUUGAAAUACAAUUACAGACCUUGAACAAUAUAUAUUUCUAUCAACCAACAUUAUUUCCAUGUUUACGUUACGCUUUUGUAAAGGAAGAAAGAACUGAAGUACUUUCACAUAGCAUCUUGGAUUUACAAACGAUAAAUAUCCUGUGCUCAGCAGAGUUAAUGAGCUUAAAAUCCAAAGACCAAUCUCAGGUCCUCCAAAUUAACAUCACAGUGAAAUAUUAAGAGUGGAAUUAAAAUAAUUUUUAAAUCAGUCAUUCACCACCUAAAACACUACAGUUCAGAGUAACUUUUAUUAAAGCGACCCUCCUAGAUGACCUCAACUACAAUGUCCUGGGGGCGCCUCAGUUCUAGGGCUGGGCCGGGUCACCGAGAACACACACACACACACCACACACACACACACACACACACACACACACACGCACGCACACACCCCACCCACCUUCUAACCUGGAAGCCUCUGUGUCGUCCAACGGCCCCAGAAGGUGCCAGUGAGAGCCAACAGGUCGGCCACGGCCACAGCCACAGCCAUCAGGCCAUGUGGCGGCCGCUCCAGAUCCAGAUUCAAGGCUGGCUCUGAUCGUAAGAGGAGUCUCUACAAUGUCCUAUCGACCCGACCCCACUCGGUCCCAGCGGUGUCCUCAGCAGUGGGGGAGGGGCCAGGGCCAGCCUGCUACAGGCAACAACAAUAGCAAGGCAGGGCAGAGUGAAAACAGUAGCAAAGCUCCCACCUGCAGCUCAGCAAGCCCUCCCCCGCGCCCCUGCACCCCUGCACGGGCCGACAUUUCUUAAAGAUACAGUGUGCCUGAAUGAUCAGCAUGCUUUAAAAUGUACACCAAAGAAUUAUGUGCCCAAGCUCAACAGCUCCGUGUAGGCCAGAAGAAGUUAUAAAGCGGAUCUAAUGUGUAACUGUCUAGUCGCUAUCAGGUUCUUGGACGGACCCUGAGGGACGUCCUCCCUGGCUGGUGACAGCGCCUGGAAGGGAGUGUGGAAGGGAGUGUGCGUCUUCCCAGACAGUACAAGGAACAGGGUGAACACAGUGCGUGCCAUUUUCCACCUGCUAAGGGUAGUCGGCUUUCCAUCAAUGGCCAGUAAGUCAGUGGUGAUUUCUAACAGGCUAGGUAAAACAGCAAAACAGAACUGAAAAGGGAUCAACACCAAUGUCCCUAACCAAAAAUCCUAAAAUACACAGGAGCCAGUAUACUUCUUAAAACAAAAAAAGGGAAGAAGAAGGAAGGAAGGAAGACAAACCUCAGAGCCAAGAAGCAGCCAGUGACAGACUGACAGCGUGUGGAGACUCUUUUCUAACCAGACUCCAUUCUUUCAGCUAAUGACAAUCCUUUAAAUUCAUGUUCCAAAGAUAACCAGCAGGCCUCGGCAAUUACUUUCUCUGCUUAAAGAUUUUUAAAGGCUGAACGUAACGGUUCUAAAAGCGUGGAACGCUACCGCCCACACGAAGUAGAAAGAGGCCUCACCAGGCCACACACAGAAGUCUUCCUGAUCAGAACCACCUUAAAACGGACUUAACAACCUAAAGGGGCUAAACGCGGUCGAGAAGCGUUAGGUCAGAAACCAAGCGAGAAAGGGACCCAGAAGACCUGCCCACGUACGGACGUCUGCCCUUUCCGACAGGAGCACAGCCUCCUCGCCAGCUUGGCCACACGCGGGGCCUCUGGGUCACCAAGCCUCCCCUUUCCGCUGCGCUGGAUGCAGCAAAUGGAGGACUGGACUUAAAAACGCUCGUGCUGUUGCCAAAAUGGCACGCAAAGUCACCGCUCGUGGUCUGCCACGGCAGGCCCCACACCACUCACAUCAGGCUUCGGCCAAGACCCCUCUUCAAGGGCAUUCCUUCAUCAUUUGAGUUUCACAUCCACACAUGGGUGCAUUUUUUUGUCUUUCGGAACCAGAUGCUAACUUACAAUCUCAGCUUUAUUCUCAGCUUGGGGACAGUGCCCAGGCAGACCCUUGCUGGGUAUGCACGUCACCACCCCCGGGCAAACGCUGGCUCUCCUCACACACUUCUGGUCCCAAAUCUUAGGCAAGCAGGUCAGGGCCAAAGAGACACGGGAGUCCCGAUCGGGUCGCUGACGGUCCAGGUCUCACACGGUACGUGUGGCCUGGCCGGUAACACCCCAAUUACGAAAAGUCCUGUAACGGCCACUCCCCUGUCCCACCCCCCAAACCCUGAACACUUCGUCUUAGCCCCUUCUGUGCUUGUGCGUGACCUUCCAGCGAAAAGCUCGGCCUCAGACACACGUGAAGGCGGGGGACCCCACAGCGAUCACCCACGAAGCAGGCUAACCCUUCCUGGAGGGCGGGACAGACAGGACUCGUCCAUGCACCGUGCAGGUUCCGUUCACCACACGGAGCAUCCUUGUCAUGAGAUCUGGCCUACAUCUCCUGUUGGUUUUUAGGAGCUAGCUCCCUCUUGAAAAAAACAGGUUAUUUUCAGUUGGGAGACAGAGAUGUCACAGACACAAUUCCAAAGAGGGUGUGGAGAUGCACCCAAAUCCAUCACCAUCAGAGGCAGACGUUUAACUCUUGUAUUAACUCUGGAGGGAGGCCCACAUGGGAGACAGAAGCCCCUAACAGGUGCAUCAACAGAACGGGAACCUCUACUGCCGAUAGGUGCACAUACUUCAUGGGACCUCUAUCAUCGCGGGAAACUUCCAGUCUCAGAACAGCUACAACCUCAACUGUCAUAUAUUCAGACAGGUUUCACCUCUUCCGAAUGCCUUGCGCUCCUUCUCGUGGCUGCCGCCCCUGACCAGGCACCAGCGUGGGGUAGGAAGAUGGACUGCAGCAAUUAAGUGGGGCCGUUAACAACGGUUCUAUGUACAAGAACAGUCACCUCCACAACAAGCAGUUCAAACGGCAAGACUAGAACGUGUUCGGUGUUGUCCUGAUCUCUUUACGAAAUGAGGGAAUUUAUGUUCGGUUAGUAGCAUAAUGGAUGUGUAUCGUGGCAGACAACCUUCCUUGCCUCCUAAGCUCUUUUCAGAACAGGAGCCCUGUCCACUCACCUUCAGGAAGAGCCGCGGGUGGGAGCGUUCCCCAGCAAGACCGCUGCUGCCAUCUGGAGCGGGACGGCUCUGCCCCACGCGGGACCGUCUGCCUCCUGCAGGAGCUGAACACACCUGCCACUGCCUGGUCGCCCGCCUGGUCACUUCCCGACAUCCUCGGGGCGGGGGUGGGGGGCGGUGCCUUCCCCGGUGGAGGAACACCGCGUGACCCCCAUCCCUGCCCCACCCCACACCCUCCUGUGUCCUCGGCUGACGCCACUCAGCGGACAUAUGGGCCCAUCAUCCCGGCAGGCGCCUCAACGGGGAGGAAAGCCCCUGCUCUCCGGCUGACUUCUGGUGCCCCCGGCGUGGGCUGGGAGCCGGCCGGCCGGCCACCUACGCAAAAGUCACCGCGCUACAGUUUCAACCGGGCUCGACCUCGCUUGCGAUAGUUUCCUGACCCGGGCCACUCCUACACGACCUUCCUUCGCACUUUCCAAUUUCGUAAACUAGUUCUCCGCCAGCCCUGCCCACACUCACGUCCGGGCCUCCCGCCGCGUCCGAGCAGAGCCACCCGCCCAGCGCUCAGCCACAGUCUAGCGCCCGGCCGUGCUCCUCAGACCCAGCGUCUGCCACUCGACCCCCACGUGCACGGGGCAGUCAGGAGGAGAGCUCUUCAUGCCAGAGCAGAAUUUAUACUUUGGGAUAAAAAUGGAAUGAUGGAGAUUUUAUUGUUUUUAUUGUUAUAACCAUUAUUGUCACAAUAGCGAACCACCGAGUCCCUGCAAGGCGUCAGGUACCCCAAGUGUUUUACAUGCGUUACAGUACUUAACGGUUAGAACACAAGUAUCAGUCAGAAACUUCCAUUAAAGGUAGAACGCGUGUGAAGAGUGUGCUGGGAAUGACCGAGGGCUCCUAACACGGUAACGUCAACAGCAGUCCUGCCUCCGGGAGCUGAGGGGCAAGUGUGGCCUGUGCCCCUCCAUGCAGGCAUGCGGACGCCCCGGGGUAGGACAGUGGGCGACACCCAACACUCAGUCAUUUAAUGUGACAGCUGACGUCCUACAAAAGCAACCGAUUAAGCUGUGGUUGUAAAUAACCUGAUCGAGGUAUCCCCAAGAUACUGGUCGCUGCAUCAAAAGAGUUGAAUGGCUCGUAUGAUACUGAAAAUGAGAUUCUUCCUACAAAUUCACUGUGCCUCGUGUCAUAGUAAAACUGUGUAGUAAAAAAAGGACAGAAUCGAAACCCUUCCUGCCUUCGGUGUUGGAAAGCGGUUUCGUGUCUACAGUGCUGAGUGCAUUCCAGCUGGCAACGGGGCAGCUGACGCGGGCUCCUCCUAUGUGUGCGGCUCGCUCUCUUUCCGGCGGUGCGGGCACCGGCAGUGUUCGGUACAAACUCGGUAAGUCACGAGCCAGAGGACGAGGGUGGCCUCUAGCAAGGCCAGCCCCUUCGGCGUGGCGUCCUCGUCGCAGGCCCAGGGCAGCCCCGUGUGGCGGGCGUCCCUUCGGCCUGACAUCUACACGGACCGCUGCGGGAGGAGUGUGCCUCUAUCGUGAGAUGAGCGGGAUCGGGUAAAUGGCCUUGCCUGGGCAUCUUACCUUGGUCUUAAAAUUUGUUAUCUGUUCUCUUCAUUGUGUGUGUUAUUAAUACCAGUGAAAACAGAUUAUCACACAUCUUCCAUAAAAUGACUGGGGUACGAGUGUCACUGAGUGAGUGCGUGGACGUGCCACCUGCAGCAGGCAUCUGGAAUAUUACAGCAUUUAAGUGCGGUACGGGGCAGCUGGGUUCACAUCCAACUUGGCUGAUGUGGGCUCCCGUAAAAGCUGUUACCAGCGAAGGCGAAAAAGAUAAGAAUUUGCUCUACUAAGGGAAUAAGAAACGAGGUUACAAGACACUUAAAUCACAUCAACUCCCUCACAGGCCUUUGUCACGCAAGCGUGCGAUCUCCGUCUAUUCUCUUCAUCGUCUCACCAUCAGGGCAAUGAAGCACUUGGUAGCAGUCAUUCCGAUAUAAGUUUUAUUUCCCACGUUUACCUUUUUUGAGAAAAGUUUAAACCACGAGUGACCUAAGAGAUCUUGAAACACCGGCUCUGUGACGAGCCCUUAUUCCAAUCAAGGGUGACAAAAGUAGGAAGGAGAAGCAGCAACGGGUGCGUGGCCCGAGGAAGGGCCGGUCAGCGCAGACCGCAGCCCCACGGGGCCUGACUCCCUGCGCCCCCGGACCGGGUCUGCACGGUGCUUCUGUAACGCGCACAGCCUCCUGCUCCCGAAGGCGGCCAGCACAAAUACGCCGUGAACGCGUGCUGUGGCUCUGCAGCGUCAACACAUAACAGACAAGGCUUUUCGUUCACCCGAAGUGGUUUUAAUGAACAACGUAAUCCUGUGAAAAUUAACUCUAAUGGAAGGCUUCUGCAAGCCACGCAGAAGUGGCCUGACAUCAAAGGCCUGGUGGUUUAAACGUUGUUGUAUAAGGAGCUGAACGCACGUGAUGGGAACUAUGUAUUGCCUUCAAAAUGCAGGAAGGUAUAGGAUUAUAAUGUAGUUAAUAUAGAAUAUAAACAUAAUUAAGAAACUAACCACUCCUAAAGUUCCAAAGAAUUAAGAAUCAGUUAAGUCUACUGAUUAUAAAUGCUUCCUCUAAGUCUCCCCGAGUUCAGAACAAAUGUCUGAACCGGGAAGACCACGCUCACCCUGGUUACAACGGGAGUCAGGCUGCCCGACCCUAACCACACCCCGCUCCCCGCCCCCACCCCCCACCCCCCGCACCUCCCUGCCCUGGGCCAGGGGGCCCCUGAGCCCAGGCCUCUGACUUGUACAGCUUCUGACCAGGAAUGACAGAGAAGAUUUCAGCAGCCUCAGCGCCUUGCCUUUGAUUGGAUCUGACGAUGGUGUAAGUAAAAACUCAACUGAAUGGUGGAUCAGAAUGCGAUGACAGAAAAAAAAAAAAAAAAAACCCAUUAAAAAUCUUUUUACAUAUAAAAGCCGA